UAAAGUUGUUGCAGUUAAACAGCUCGUAGUUGAAUUUCGGGGCCAGUUGGUUGGUCGUGCCUAUGGUAUGUACUGGCCUACUGGUUCCUCCUUCUUGAAGAACCGUAAUGUCAUUAAUUUGGUGUUGCGGGGAAACAGGACUGUUACUUUGAAAAAAUUAGAGUGCUUAAAGCAGGCUAACGCCUGAAUACAUUAGCAUGGAAUAAUGAAAUAGNACGUUUGAUCUUAUUUUGUUGGUUUCUAGGAUUGACGUAAUGAUUAAUAGGG
rnacentral:rRNA from 1 species